rnacentral:rRNA from 1 species
GACGAACGCUGGCGGCGUGCUUAACACAUGCAAGUGGAGCGACGAACCAGGCUUCGGCCUGGGGCAGAGCCGCGAACGGGUGAGUAACACGUGGGUAACCUGCCUCGAUGACCGGGACAACCCGGGGAAACCCGGGCUAAUACCGGAUGUGCUCCUUCACAUCAGUGAAGACAGGAAAGGAAGCUUCGGCCUCCGCAUCGAGAUGGGCCCGCGGCCAUUAGCUUGUUGGNGAGGUAACGGCUCACCAAGCUGCGAUGGGUAGCUGGUCUGAGAGGACGAUCAGCCACACUGGGACUGAGACACGGCCCAGACUCCUACGGGAGGCAGCAGUGGGGAAUCUUGCGCAAUGCGCGAAAGCGUGACGCAGCAACGCCGCGUGGGGAAG